rnacentral:rRNA from 1 species
UCAGGACGAACGCUGGCGGCGUGCCUAACACAUGCAAGUCGAGCGAGGAGAUCCUUCGGGAUGAUCCUAGCGGCGGACGGGUGAGUAACACGUGGGCAACCUGCCUCAUAGAGAGGAAUAGCCUUCCGAAAGGGAGAUUAAUACCUCAUAACAUUGCAGUUUCGCAUGGAACAGCAAUUAAAGGAGUAAUCCGCUAUGAGAUGGGCCCGCGGCGCAUUAGCUAGUUGGUGAGGUAACGGCUCACCAAGGCGACGAUGCGUAGCCGACCUGAGAGGGUGAUCGGCCACAUUGGGACUGAGACACGGCCCAGACUCCUACGGGAGGCAGCAGUGGGGAAUAUUGCACAAUGGGGGAAACCCUGAUGCCAGCAACGCCGCGUGAGUGAUGACGGCCUUCGGGUUGUAAAGCUCUGUCUUCAGGGACGAUAAUGACGGUACCUGAGGAGGAGGCCACGGCUAACUACGUGCCAGCCGCCGC